rnacentral:lncRNA from 1 species
UGACGCCAAGAUGGCGGCCAGCAGCGCUUCUGGCUGCGCGCUGGGCCCUGUGGAGCAGCAGAGAGGCCGCAGCUCCCAGCCCCACCGUGGGGAGCAGCACGGACAGCCCUGGCGCCACCAUCGAAGGUCUCGGGAUAUCAUCAUCUCUGGGAACCUCCUGCCCUGUCAGAGAAACUUCACUAUAUACCAGGAUUUUUUUUAGUCCAACAAAUUUAUUCAACACCUGCCAUAUUGAUUCUAAGAUGUGCUCUUUUAUGUAUUUAUCAUCUCUGAAACCAAGGUGAGUCUUAAUGUUUUGUCCUUGUAGAAGUGGUAGCUCUUUUUGUUCAUUUUUUUCUUAGUGGUAGAAAAAUAAAGUUUCUUGAGAUCAGGAGCAUCUUAAAUUUGGUGAAGUAUGAUUUAUACCUGGU